rnacentral:rRNA from 1 species
GGCGGCGUGCUUAACACAUGCAAGUCGAACGAUGAAGCCCAGCUUGCUGGGUGGAUUAGUGGCGAACGGGUGAGUAACACGUGAGCAACGUGCCCAUAACUCUGGGAUAACCUCCGGAAACGGUGGCUAAUACUGGAUAUCUAACACGAUCGCAUGGUCUGUGUUUGGAAAGAUUUUUUGGUUAUGGAUCGGCUCACGGCCUAUCAGCUUGUUGGUGAGGUAAUGGCUCACCCAAGGCGACGACGGGUAGCCGGCCUGAGAGGGUGACCGGCCACACUGGGACUGAGACACGGCCCAGACUCCUACGGGAGGCAGCAGUGGGGAAUAUUGCACAAUGGGCGAAAGCCUGAUGCAGCAACGCCGCGUGAGGGAUGACGGCCUUCGGGUUGUAAACCUCUUUUAGUAGGGAAGAAGCGAAAGUGACGGUACCUGCAGAAAAAGCACCGGCUAACUACGUGCCAGCCGCCGC